GAGGAUCUAGGAGAUCUGCUUAACUUCAGUGUAGGCUCCGAAUCGACUCGCGAGUGGUGCAAGGCGUGCUAGUCAAUUUGACCUGCAAUUGACAAGGAAAACGUAAAAUUCAUGAGCCGACAGGCAGCGAAGCCUUCGAACUCAUAGGUAAUUAUUUUUUGAAUAAACACCACGACAGAUAGAUUCAGUAAUCAUGCGGUGUAAAAAAAUAAAAUAUUAAUGGCAUGUGACAUGAGCUAUGUCAGCCGAUGGGCUAAGAUAAAACAUUGUAACGCAACAACCAUAAAAGG
rnacentral:lncRNA from 1 species